UUUCUUGGAGAAAAUAAUAAUUAUGACUUUAAUCUCCAAGAUUUCAACUAUCUGGGAGAUAUCGUACCCAUCAAAAUAGGAGAUGAAAUUUUAGUGGAAUGCACCUACAACACUGAAGAUCGGGACAAAUUAACUUUGACAGGAUUGGGGACCACAAAUGAAAUGUGUUUGGCAUUUUUAUUAUAUUAUCCUAGGAGAAGUAUUAGCGGUUGC